AGAAAAAUAACAUAUACACAAAUCUUCAUAGCUUCAAGUGCCAGUUAUAUUCAUUGUACAAGAUAAUGAAGUUCCAACUGAAAAAUGUUAUGUUUUUUAUGAUAUUGAAACUCAAGUGAAAAAAAAUACACUUAUUACGCUCUAACUGAAUAUUUAAUUAUAAGUUAGAUUGCUUAUAGUUAAAUACAUUUUGUUUCUUAUUUAGACUGAUCAUUACAAGUCAUUGGCAACAAAUUUCUUGGUGAUAAAAUUGUACCACUUAUGGAACUGGACAACAUACUUGACUUCUCAUUAAUUAAUAAUUGGACAGAAAACAAUAUUCAUUCUCUAGGUUUAAUCAAAAUCACUAUGAAUACCUACAUUCGCCACCUGUAGACUCAUCGAAAUUGUAUUGGUAUUUUCCAGUUUUGAAAUUAAUUUGCAUGAUCUAAUUGAUUUUUAAUUUUUACAUAAACAUUCUGUAGAAUUAAAGUUCACUAAAAAACCAUUAACAUUGACUAUAUAACUGUUAUAGCCACUUGAUUUGUAAUAGUUAAUGCGAUUACCAGUGAUCUACUCAGACCAGACAUAUGAAUAGUCUUGCCUACCACAUCAAAACAUAACCUAGGCGGUUUCACAAGGAGGACACAUCAAUUUUUAGUUGUUUAGGCGCAGGAAUACAAAUUUUUCUCGUAAACAAAGUAUGUUAUACAUAUCAAUUAUGUUUUUUGUAAAUCAUUUAAAUCAAAAUAAUAUUAAUUACUUAGCUGGAAUCCUAAUGGAAUGCAAUCUGAAAUUACCUUUCAUUUGAUCUGGACAUUGAGAAAAUCAACAAUUGCUCAUAACAAAAGAAUAUAGUUAUUUACCCAUUAAAAAAUGAGGGUAAUUAUUUAGUUUAUGUCAAAACAUCUUAGCUUAAAAAAUUACCAGUCAUUUUGACAGUAAGUAAAAUAAAAAUUUGUUUAGAUAAAAUUAUAAGCUUCAAGCAUUUGUAGUAUGAUACAAGGAAAUAUACAUAUUUUU